UACGAAGGGGGCUAGCGUUGUUCGGAUUUACUGGGCGUAAAGCGCACGUAGGCGGUCUUUUAAGUCGGGGGUGAAAUCCUGGAGCUCAACUCCAGAACUGCCUUCGAUACUGGAAGACUCGAGUCCGGGAGAGGUGAGUGGAACUGCGAGUGUAGAGGUGAAAUUCGUAGAUAUUCGCAAGAACACCAGUGGCGAAGGCGGCUCACUGGCCCGGUACUGACGCUGAGGUGCGAAAGCGUGGGGAGCAAACAGG
rnacentral:rRNA from 1 species